rnacentral:rRNA from 1 species
UAUAGUUUAUUUGACAUUGAAAUGUUACACGGAUAACCGUAGUAACCUAGGGCUAAUACGUGACAAAAUUUCCGUUCUUCGGAAAGUGCAUAUUAGCUUAAAACCAAUUUUGGUUGAAAGAUAAUAUUUGUCGGAUCGCGUUGGUUCUGCCAGCGACAUGUCAUUCAAGUUUCUGCCCUAUCAGCUUGACGGUAGGUUAUUGGCCUACCGUGGCGGUAACGGGUAACGGGGAAUUUUGGUUCGAUUCAGGAGAGGCAGCCUGAGAAACGGCUACCACA